rnacentral:rRNA from 1 species
UACGUAGGGGGCUAGCGUUGUCCGGAAUUAUUGGGCGUAAAGAGCGCGUAGGCGGCCAGACAAGUCCGGUGUGAAAUCUCGGGGCUUAACUCCGAAACUGCAUUCGAUACUACCGUGCUUGAGGACUGGAGAGGAGACUGGAAUUUACGGUGUAGCGGUGAAAUGCGUAGAUAUCGUAAGGAAGACCAGUGGCGAAGGCGGGUCUCUGGACAGUUCCUGACGCUGAGGCACGAAGGCCAGGGGAGCAAACGGG